AGAGUUUGAUUAUGGCUCAGGAUGAACGCUAGCUACAGGCUUAACACAUGCAAGUCGAGGGGCAGCAUUGGAGUAGCAAUACUUCAGAUGGCGACCGGCGCACGGGUGAGUAACACGUAUCCAACCUGCCGCUUACUCGGGGAUAGCCUUUCGAAAGAAAGAUUAAUACCCGAUGGUAUAAAGAGUUCGCAUGUUCUCUUUAUUAAAGAAUUUCGGUAAGCGAUGGGGAUGCGUUCCAUUAGAUUGUUGGCGGGGUAACGGCCCACCAAGUCUACGAUGGAUAGGGGUUCUGAGAGGAAGGUCCCCCACAUUGGAACUGAGACACGGUCCAAACUCCUACGGGAGGCAGCAGUGAGGAAUAUUGGUCAAUGGACGAGAGUCUGAACCAGCCAAGUAGCGUGAAGGAUGACUGCCCUAUGGGUUGUAAACUUCUUUUAUAAGGGAAUAAAGUGAGGGACGUGUCCCUUUUUGUAUGUACCUUAUGAAUAAGGAUCGGCUAACUCCGUGCCAGCAGCAGC
rnacentral:rRNA from 1 species